rnacentral:lncRNA from 1 species
CCAGGAGAAGUGCAGGCGAGCUGAGCUCAGGCCGCUGCUCUCCGCCUCUUCCCGAGAUGAGCCGCUGAUGGAGCGCCUGAUCAGAGCUAGCUCUGGCUGAGCCUUUGGUUCUGGGUAGCCUGGUCCCCAGAGAGGAAGAGACCUUUGCCCAGCAGAGCUCUGCUGGGCCCUGCCAGUUCCCCUCACCCCACCAUGCCUCUGUUGGACGUGUUUUGGGCUUGCUUCAGGAAAGUGAAGUGCUUCCCAUUGCUUCAAGGGAGGAAGAAUGCCGUGACUGAGGGCCUUCCAUGUGCCUGGUGUUUGGUACCCCUGGGGUCUAAGGCAGGGGCUUAGAGGCGUAUGGAUGCACAGACCAAUGUGGCUCAUCUUCCUGGAGUGUCAACUUUCCUCAAAGGCUUAAAGGAUUAAAGCACCAUUUUUAUAUGAAAACAAUAUGGAUGCACACCGGAAUUAACUGGAAAAUUCAAGAAGAUGUUGAAGAGCAGGUAUUUUAAAGACAUUCCCUGUUUGGAUACAAAGUUACAACUUCAGCCCCUGGGGGUUCUACA